CACUGAAUAAUGAUAAUAAUGGUCAAGAUGGCUACUUCAGAUGCCUCCUUGCGGUAGCUACCGAACAAUUUAAUGGAAACAACUAAAACUACUCUUCCUCGUGAUUUAAAGGCCCCGGAGCUAACCUGGGAGUUGCAGAAGAUACCACUGUGUGGUUUAAGGCAUUUUAUUACCUGACAUAGUUUACCAUCUAGCUAGCUAACGUUAGUUGUCGAACAUUCCCAAUUUUAGCAAGCUACAGUAACGUUAGUUCAGUGAAGUCUCGUCCUCCCUUGUGUUUUCCUACCGAGGGGCUCUGUGACGGUCAGCAUCAAAUGGCCGAACCGAGAAAAGUACCGUUUGUCACAAUCUCUUCCUUUAACAACAAUGCACCGCCUUCAGAUUCAAAGAAACGCCGCCGGGAAGAUGAGGCCGAAAUCAGUUUGGGGGAAGAUGGAGGGGGUGGAAGUGCAGCAACCAGGCCAGGAGGUGGUACUGGUGCUAGUCCAUUCGGUAUCGUGAAAGCCGGUGACGGGGAUUCAGCGGAAACAAAACGUGUAACAGUGCGCUUGAACCUCUCCUUGCCCGAACCCAGCGAACGGGGAUCUGCUGAAUUCAACUACAGUGAACUUGUUCAAUCUACUCAGGUAAAGAUCAGUCAAGGCUACAAGUGAUAACAGCAGGCUGGGCCGGUGAACGCGUAGGCAGCUUGAAGUGUAAGCUCCCGAGGCUAUGGUGCUGUUGUCAACAAGAGCGAUGUUGGCCAACUGUAGCUACAGUAUUCUUAGAUAUGAUGUGAAGAAGCCUCCUGCUCCAGGACCUCCUAAAGACCUGACGCCAGCCCUGGACCCCAACGACCCCUUUGCAGACAACGAGAAGGAGAGAAAAGAAGUAGAGGCGCUCGCCAAGAAAUUUGAGAGCAAAUAUUCACAGGCCAAUACAGGGAAAAAGAAGCGGAAGGACAGGGUGCAGGAUCUCAUCGACAUUGGUUUUGGCUAUGAUGAGACUGACCCAUUCAUUGAUAACUCUGAGGCUUAUGAUGAGCUGGUGCCAGCCUCCCUCAACACUAAGCUGGGAGGGUUCUACAUCAACACUGGCACGCUGCAGUUCAGAGCAGCCUCCGAGUCAGAGGGAGAGGACUUCAAGAAGUUGAAAGAUGGUGAGGAGCGUGUGAUAAAGAAGCGAAUGAAAAAGCAAGAUGGCAGUAACAUAGAUGAGAAAAAGCCCAGGAAGAUCAGGAUGCCAAAGCAAGGAGUGUCUGGCCUGAAUGUCCACCGGCCAGAGAAGAAGAAAAGGAAGAAGUUGAUGAAGGACUCUCUGAAUCUGGCCGCCAUGCUCCGCCGCUUCACGCGGGAGAAGGAGGAGAACCGCAAGAAGAACCCCGGCCUGCCCCGUGGCCAGCACAAUGCCAACAGUGCCCUGCUCAACGCACACCCUAAACCCAGCAACAUCAGCAUGGCCGAUCUGGCUAACGACCCUGCCAUGAUGUCACUGCUGGGCUCAGCCAAUAACAACGACAUGCUGCAGGACAUGAUGGGCGACCUAGACUUUGGGCUGCUGGACUCUCCUCAGCCCCCCAGUCCUGCGCAGGGGGAGAACGGUGCUCCGGGUAGGGUCCAGGGUAGGGUCCAGGGGGCACAAGGAGGUCUCCUGCCCCCUCCUCCUCUGCCUAAUGGACUGCCUGCCCCUCUCAGUAAGCGUAUUGAGGACCUCCGUGUGGCUUCUCAUCAGUUUGAUCAAGAGGGCAGGAAAAAGUUCUUCACGCUGGACAUGAACAACAUCCUACUGGAUAUUGAGUUGCAGGUCCAGGAGCAGCCGGCAGCAGUGCGCUCUUCAGUCUACUCCCAUCUCGAGGCCUUUGUGCCCUGCAACAAGGAGGCUCUGCUCAAACGCCUAAAGAAACUCAGCCUCAAUAUCCAGGAUGACCGUCUGCGUGCUCCGCUACUGAAGCUGAAGCUAGCUGUGUGCAGCGUGAUGCCAGAACAGAUUGCCAGAUACAAUAUGGACUGCAUCGCCAAAGUGGCCAAGCAGCAGUCAGAAGAGGGGGAAAAGAACGGGUCAGAAGAGGAGGAUGAGGAGAAGCCUGGGAAGAGAGUGAUGGGACCUCGCAAGAAGUUUGUCUGGGAUGAGAAGCUCAGGAUGUUGCUGUGUAACUUGGUGAGGGUGAAGCUGGGCUGCUAUGAGCUGGAGGGCCAGAGCUCCCAGUCUCCAGAGGACUAUCUCAAGGCCUUCAUGGAGACUGAGGUGAAACCACUGUGGCCCAAGGGCUGGAUGCAGGGCAGGAUGCUAUUCAAAGAGAGCCUCAUGGUUCAUUGUCACCUCACUGGCAAUCCAGCCAAGAAAAAGAUGGUUCCUACUCCCAAGUCUAAACCCAAAGAGGGUAGUUGGGUCCAGAGAUCCACCCCCUCAGUUGGUGCGACCCCCUCCCCUGCAGCCCCAGUGGCCUGCCGGCCCUCCCAGUCCCCCGCUGAGACCAUCUGUCUGCUGGACUCCCUGGAUGAAGAGCUGACCGCCCCUGCCCUGGACUCCAUCUCCCAGGCCCUGGCCCUCCUCAGCAAUGCAGCCAAGGGCCUGGUCCAAGGGGACAGUCCCCCCUCCCCUGAUAGGCCCAAGACUGCCCUGUCCUCCCUCCAUGCCUCACCUCUCCUCCAGAAGCACAAGAAGAGCACCAUCAACACACCCGGCUCCAACACACCUCUCUUCGUCUCUACCUCCUCCUCCCCCUCCUCUCUCUCUCGGCCUCCCACCGUCUCCCCUUCUCUGUCCUCAGCGAGGAGCGAGGGGUUGGGGUCGAUGAAGGGUGGAGGUGCUCUGGCUCAGGCUCACAGACAAUCAGUGCAGAGCACUCAGAGGCUUGCUGGGACUGGACUGAGUAAAGCCAAUGCUCCCGGCUCUCACUCCCAGCUUAAGCCGCGGCCGUCCCCCAAUCAGAAGGGCUUUGGCAGCAAUAAUACUAAAGCCAACAGUGGUGACACCCCCCUCUCCUCCCCUUCUCCCUCCUUCUCCCACUCUCUCUUAGGAGCCCAAGCUCAGCAGCAGUCCAACUUCAUCACCCCCAUGCAGGCCACUCUCACCAAGUCCUCCCACAGCAGCACCUCGCCCAUCAUCAAACUCACCCCUCGCCUCCCCAACCCCUUAACGCCCACCACCUUCUCACCCUCCACCAAUCCCAGGCCUCAGGCAGCUUCCAGUAUGCACCAGUACUCCUCCAAAAGCCCAGCAGGGUUCCGCCCACCAUUCUCAGGUGCUCCGGGAGGGCCAGCCAAACUUGUCCAGGGCAGCUACACCCCUCCAGGAGGGCAGAAGACCCCCUCUCAGAUCAUCAGCAGCAGCGCCAACACCAGCCUUACCAACACCUCAUCCAUCAGCAAGCAUUCGGGAUCCAGUCCCUCCCCUACCACAACCUCGGCCAAUCAGCGACAAAGGCCGGCAGGUGGAACCAUUCAGGGGGCUAAGCCUAUUAAAUCUAUAUCCACACAGUCUGUCUCUUCUCAGUUGCCACAGGUAAGUGAAAAAUAAAAGAUGGUAGCUGGGUGGGACAAGGUCAUGAUGGAGCAAAUGUUCAAAAUGAGUUUUGUCUACUGUUGUCUGUAUAUUGAUGUAUUUUAUCUCUGUUUGUAUAUGUUGUCUGUUGGUCUGGGUCUAUAUUUCUAAUUAAAAAUUGGGUGGUUCGAGCCCUGAAUGCUGAAAGCCGUGGUGUAUCAGACCGUAUACCACUAGAAUGACAAAACAUUUAUUUUUACUGCUCUAAUUACGUUGGUAACCAGUUUAUAAUAGCAAUAAAGGCACCUCAGGGGGUUAUGGUAUAUUUCCAAUAUACCACGGCUAAGGGCUUUAUCCAGGCACCAGUGCAUAAGAACAGCCCUUAGCUGUGGAUUAUUGGCCAUAUACCACACCCCCCCGGGCCUUAUUGCUUAAUUAUAUGCCUUUGUUCUCCAGGUGUCCUCAGCCAGCAGCAGUCUUCUUGGCUCUGCUCCGUCUCUCCCACUUGGCUUCGGGAUGUUGGGGGGGCUGGUUCCUGUGUCCCUGCCCUUCCAGUUUCCUUCACUCUUAAACCUGCCCCCAUUAGGGGGCACAGCUGGCUCCAGCACCGGGGCCAGCGGCUCCUCAACCAGCAACAGCUCAGCAUUCUCCCUGACCCAGAAACUCUACUCUUCCUGUCCAGAUGUCAAUCAAACCCAAGGAGGGGAUGUGAAGAGGAAGUCUCUUUGACCACACCUGUUUGGAACACUGAGGACAUCCACUAUGUUAUGACAGCUAUCAGGACGACUUUGAAUGACUAACAGAAACUGCCCAAACACAGGAUGGGGUUGAAAUGGGGAAUUGGACCCUCUCGAUAAUCUUCCGGCUGUUACUUAUUUUUUAAACAGCAAUUUGAUAAUUGUUUAAAUAUUGUACAUUAAGGCUUAAUGACAAGUUUGUUUUUGUCAAUGUUUACAGAACAGACCUUUAUCACUGUGGUCAGGGAGGGAGAAUGAAUGAGAGGUCUACUUGUUGGUGUGUAUGUGUGAAUGCACUAUUCUUUAGCUUCAGUGUGCAAACCUCCCUCUCUGAUACCUGGGUUAGUGUGUCUAUUUGGUGCUUUUUUUCUCAAUGUAAUUAUCUAGACCUGUAAGAAAUGCUACUAAAUGCGAACGUUGUUGAAUUUGUUUCGGGACCGGAGCUGUAUUUUUGUGCUGUACAUAACUCCACCAAAUUCAAUAAAACAAGCCAUGAUCUAU